rnacentral:tRNA from 1 species
GCUCCUGUGGUGUAGUCCGGCCAAUCAUCCGGCCCUUUCGAGCACAGAAGAAAGGCCGGGACCCGGGUUCAAAUCCCGGCGGGAGCA